CCGCGUGUGUGAAGAAGGCUUUCGGGUUGUAAAGCACUUUCAGCGAGGAAGAAGGCCUGGUGGUUAAUACCCAUCAGGAAGGACAUCACUCGCAGAAGAAGCACCGGCUAACUCCGUGCCAGCAGCCGCGGUAAUACGGAGGGUGCGAGCGUUAAUCGGAAUUACUGGGCGUAAAGCGCGCGUAGGUGGCUUGGCACGCCGGUUGUGAAAGCCCCGGGCUCAACCUGGGAACGGCAUCCGGAACGGCCAGGCUAGAGUGCAGGAGAGGAAGGUAGAAUUCCCGGUGUAGCGGUGAAAUGCGUAGAGAUCGGGAGGAAUACCAGUGGCGAAGGCGGCCUUCUGGCCUGACACUGACACUGAGGUGCGAAAGCGUGGGUAGCAAACAGGAUUAGAUACCCUGGUAGUCCACGCCGUAAACGAUGUCGACUAGCCGUUGGGACCUUUAAGGACUUAGUGGCGCAGUUAACGCGAUAAGUCGACCGCCUGGGGAGUACGGCCGCAAGGUUAAAACUCAAAUGAAUUGACGGGGGCCCGCACAAGCGGUGGAGCAUGUGGUUUAAUUCGAUGCAACGCGAAGAACCUUACCUACCCUUGACAUCCUGCGAAUUUGGUAGAGAUACCUUAGUGCCUUCGGGAGCGCAGUGACAGGUGCUGCAUGGCUGUCGUCAGCUCGUGUUGUGAAAUGUUGGGUUAAGUCCCGUAACGAGCGC
rnacentral:rRNA from 1 species